GACGUAGGGCGCAAGCGUUUGUCCGGAUUUAUUGGGCGUAAAGAGCUCGUAGGCGGCUUGUUGCGUCGACCGUGAAAACCCGUGGCUCAACUGCGGGCUUGCGGUCGAUACGGGCGGGCUAGAGUUCGGUAGGGGAGACUGGAAUUCCUGGUGUAGCGGUGAAAUGCGCAGAUAUCAGGAGGAACACCCGUGGCGAAAGCGGCUCUCUGGGACGGUACUGACGCUGAGACGCGAAAGCGUGGGGAGCAAACAGG
rnacentral:rRNA from 1 species